rnacentral:rRNA from 1 species
CCUACGGGAGGCUGCAGUGAGGAAUAUUGGACAAUGGUCGGAAGACUGAUCCAGCCAUGCCGCGUGCAGGAUGAAGGUCCUAUGGAUUGUAAACUGCUUUUGUAAGGGAAGAAUAAGGACUACGUGUAGUUUGAUGACGGUACCUUACGAAUAAGCAUCGGCUAACUCCGUGCCAGCAGCCGCGGUAAUACGGAGGAUGCGAGCGUUAUCCGGAAUCAUUGGGUUUAAAGGGUCCGUAGGCGGGCUAAUAAGUCAGAGGUGAAAGCGCUCAGCUCAACUGAGCAACUGCCUUUGAAACUGUUAGUCUUGAAUGAUUGUGAAGUAGUUGGAAUGUGUAGUGUAGCGGUGAAAUGCUUAGAUAUUACACAGAACACCGAUAGCGAAGGCAUAUUACUAACAAUUGAUUGACGCUGAUGGACGAAAGCGUGGGGAGCGAACAGGAUUAGAUACCCGUGUAGUC